rnacentral:rRNA from 1 species
UUCGCAAUGCCCGAAAGGGUGACGAAGCGACGCCGCGUGUGGGAAGAAGGCCUUCGGGUUGUAAACCACUGUCGGGAGUUAAGAAAUGCAAGGGUGCUAAUAGUAUCCUUGCUUGACUAAGGCUCCGGAGGAAGCCACGGCUAACUCUGUGCCAGCAGCCGCGGUAAUACAGAGGCGGCAAGCGUUGUUCGGAAUCACUGGGCUUAAAGGGCACGUAGGCGGGGGGAUAAAUCAAGGGUGAAAUCCCAAUUCUCAAUGUUGGAACUGCCCUUGAAAAUGUCCUUCUUGAGUGCAGGAGGGGAGAGCGGAACUCUUGGUGGAGCGGUGAAAUGCGUAGAUAUCAGAAGGAACGCCGGCGGCGAAAGCGGCUCUCUGGCCCAUAACUGACGCUGAGUGUGCGAAAGCUAGGGGAGCAAACGGGAUUAGAUACCCCGGUAGUCCUAGCCGUAAACGAUGGGCACUAAGUAGAGGGGUUUU